rnacentral:rRNA from 1 species
UCCUACGGGAGGCAGCAGUGAGGAAUAUUGGUCAAUGGGCGCAAGCCUGAACCAGCCAUGUCGCGUGCAGGAAGACUGCCCUAUGGGUUGUAAACUGCUUUUAUACGGGAAUAAUAACAGAUACGCGUAUUUGUUUGAAUGUACCGUACGAAUAAGGAUCGGCUAACUCCGUGCCAGCAGCCGCGGUAAUACGGAGGAUUCGAGCGUUAUCCGGAUUCAUUGGGUUUAAAGGGUGCGUAGGCGGAAUUUUAAGUCAGAGGUGAAAUCCUGCAGCUCAACUGUAGAAUUGCCUUUGAAACUGAAGUUCUUGAGUAUGGACGAGGCAGGCGGAAUGUGUAAUGUAGCGGUGAAAUGCAUAGAUAUUACACAGAACCCCGAUUGCGUAGGCAGCUUGCCAGGCCAUUACUGACGCUGAUGCACGAAAGCGGGGGUAGCGAACAGGAUUAGAUACCCUGGUAGUCCACGCCGUAAACGAUGUUCACUAGCUGUAUGCGAUACACAGUAUGCGGCCGAGCGAAAGCAUUAAGUGAACCACCUGGGGAGUACGUUGGCAACAAUGAAACUCAAAUGAAUUGACGGGGGCCCGCACAAGCGGACGAACAUGUGGUUUAAUUCGAUGAUACUCGAGGAACCUUACCUGGACUUUAAUGUAGAUUGCAUAGAUUAAGACAGUCUUUUUCU